UACGGCCAUAUCAGGUUGAAAAAAUCGGUUCCCGUACGAUCAUUGGAGUUAAGCAACGUCAAUCCUGGUCAUUACCAAUAUUGGUGACCGCUUGGGAAUAUCAGGUGUUGUAAG